rnacentral:rRNA from 1 species
GGAGUGAAAUAGAAUACUGAAACCAUGUGCUUACAAAAAGUCAGAGCCCGUUAAAGGGUGAUGGCGUGCCUUUUGCAGAAUGAACCGGCGAGUUAAUGUUGCAUGCGAGGUUAAGUAGAAGAUACGGAGCCGAAGCGAAAGCGAGUCUUAAUAGGGCGACAAAGUAUGUAGUAUUAGACCCGAAACCGAGUGAUCUAGCCAUGAGCAGGUUGAAGUUUGGGUAAAACCAAAUGGAGGACCGAACCGACGUACCCGGAAACGUGCGCGGAUGACUUGUGGCUAGCGGUGAAAUUCCAAUCGAACUCGGAUAUAGCUGGUUCUCCCCGAAAUAGGUUUAGGCCUAGCCUUGAGAUUGAGCACUGUGGAGGUAGAGCACUGAAUAUGCAAUGGCCCCAUCUAGGGGUACUGAGUGUAAUCAAACUCCGAAUGCCAUAGUUAGCAUACUCAAGAGUCAGCGUAUGGGUGAUAACGUCCAUGCGCGAAAGGAAAAGAGUCCAGAUCGCCAAUUAAGGUCCCAAAAUUUGUACUAAGUGGGAAAGGAUGUGGAGUUGUCAAAACAGCUAGGAGGUUGGCUUAGAAGCAGCCAUCCUUUAAAGAGUGCGUAAUAGCUCACUAGUCGAGUGACACUGCGCCGAAGAUGUACCGGGGCUAAGUACAAUACCGAAAUUGCGGAUUUACACGUAAGUGUAAGUGGUAGGGGAGCGUUCCAAGGGCGUUGAAGGUUGACCGUGAGGACAGCUGGAGCGCUUGGAAGUGAGAAUGCCGGUGUGAGUAGCGCAAGAUGGGUGAGAAUCCCAUCCACCGUUUGCCUAAGGUUUCCUGGGCGAGGUUCGUCCUCCCAGGGUUAGUCGGGUCCUAAGACGAGGCCGAGAGGCGUAGCCGAUGGACAACAGGUUGAUAUUCCUGUACUAUCUAUAAGACUGAUGGAGUGACGGAGAAAGAUAGGAAGAGCCAGUUAAUGGAUUCUGGUCUAAGCACAAAGGUUGAUAAAUAGGGAAAUCCGUUUAUCGUUCAACUGAAGUGUGAUGGUGAAGUACCUAGUACGAAAUCUUCUGACUCUAUGCUUCCAAGAAAAGCUUCUAGGGUUAAUCUUAUAGGUACCCGUACCGAGAACCGACACAGGUGGGCAAGGAGAGUAUCCUAAGGUGAGCGAGAGAACUAUGGUUAAGGAACUCGGCAAAAUAACCCCGUAACUUCGGGAUAAGGGGUGGUCAUUUCGGUGACCGGCACUAAAGACGUCCAGGCAACUGUUUACCAAAAACACAGGUCUCUGCUAAGUCGUAAGACGAUGUAUAGGGGCUGACACCUGCCCAGUGCUGGAAGGUUAAGAGGAGUGCUUAGAUAGACGCGAGUCGAUGAUUCAAAGGUACGAAUUGAAGCCCCAGUGAACGGCGGCCGUAACUAUAACGGUCCUAAGGUAGCGAAAUUCCUUGUCAGGUAAGUUCUGACCCGCACGAAAGGUGUAAUGAUCUGGACACUGUCUCAACCAUAGACUCGGUGAAAUCUUAAUACCUGUGAAAAUGCAGGUUACCCGCAACAGGACGGAAAGACCCCAUGGAGCUUUACUGUAGCUUGAUAUUGAGGUUCGGUGUAUUAUGUAGAGGAUAGGUGGGAGACGAAGAAGCUAGGACGCCAGUUCUAGUAGAGUCAACCUUGGAAUACCACCCUUAAUACAUUGGACUUCUAACCUAGGACCGUGAUCCGGUUCAGGGACAGUGUCUGGUGGGCAGUUUGACUGGGGCGGUCGCCUCCCAAAGAGUAACGGAGGCGCUCAAAGGUUCCCUCAGAAUGUUUGGAAAUCAUUCUAAGAGCGUAAAGGUAUAAGGGAGCUUGACUGCGAGACCAACAAGUCGAGCAGAUACGAAAGUAGGACUUAGUGAUCAGACGAUGCAGAAUGGAAUGGUCGUCGCUUAACGGAUAAAAGUUACCCUGGGG